GGCAAUACAAGUACAACAAGGUAACCAAGAUAUUGUCACGACACGAUACCAGUGCUUUGAGCAUAUUGCAGCUUCAUCCUGAAUGGCUAUUUAUUCCAGAAACAAUACUAAUAAUACACUGACUGACGAUACAAUAGCAAGCAUCGAGCUGAGCGGCGACAUUUAUUCUAUUUCUUCUCUCAGACGAAGCUCGAGAAGCAAACUAGACUUGCCAUAUGGAUGCUUGUAGCAGAUUGGCAUCAGAAGCCACCACCCAGGAACGCCGCCUCCGCGGCGGUGGUGCGUGCAGCGUUAUUGUAGAAGUUUGUGAGGAUGUCAUCGCAGCGGUAGGUGACGACGGGGCCAUGGCCGCCGUUGGGAUGAAUCCCUGCACCGACCUUGAUGCAAAUCUUGCACUCCGGGUGGCACCCCUGCACCGAGACAUCCUUGCACUUGCAGUCCGGCGGGAGCUUCCUGUCACAAACACCGCAGUUGUCGCAGCACGGCCACGAUGACCCUGGUGUGCCACUACUACGGAACGCUCUAUCACUGUCGACGACAUCACUGUUAGAAAUGACAAAACCGGUGAUGAGUCUUCACUGCUGGUUCAAAGCUUUGAGAGGCUUCGAAUGAUUGAAAAGGGGAAGAGCCGACAGUGAUGGACAACACCACUGCCGGUUUGUUACUAGGACCUACAGUGUUGCCUUCUUCAUCUUUCACUGCCAGUCCGACACCUGAGCUAGCAAUGAUAUUGGGAUAUCACUGACGGCUCGUGUCGCCAACUGCCAGUGAUAUCCCCUGACAGCACAAAAAGCCUGCAGGCUUCCUCUGCUUCCGCCUCACUCCCAUCACGAGAACAUAGGAGCUUGCACGUGCCAUUCCCUCCAUUGUUACGGCUGCUCUUCCCCAUGACUCUCUCUUUUGGAUUUUGAAGAAUGGCUUGAUCUUUUUACUUUAAGGUUAGUAAGGGCAUCCACUUCAUCGAUUUUGGUGCUUAAUUAUCUUAGUUUGAAGGCUACAUUGCUUGAUUCUCAUUCUAGUUCUUCCUCCAUCCGAGAGAGCAAGCCAUUGGAUUUUGUGCAAAGCUCCCAAGCAAUUUGUGAGGAAUAUAUACAUCAUCUCCAUCAUCCAUAAAAGCUACAGGUUUUUGUCUAUAUAUCAUGACCUCAUUUGAAAUCUUUGGAAAUUUCAUGGUUUGAUCAAGUUGCAUGAUUGUUAGUAAGUGAUGCUCGAAUUAGUUCAUAUUAUUUAGGAGUAGAGUAGAUUAUUUUACAAUUUUGUUAGGAGUUGACAUAUUGUUUGGUGUUCAAGAUCAAGUAUCCAAUUAAUUUUGUUCAUGAUCAAGAUAAUUGACAGUGUUCGGCAAGAAGCUUAGAGUUGUCGAACAAUGGUUGAUACUCAUAUAUCGCCCUUAGAACAAAAAGUAGCCAAAUACAUGCAUCACAUUUAGAGCAAAAGCAGGCGAUGGAGUAAACAUCAUUGCUCUCAUCAUUGUUAUGUCUUUUCAAACUCACAUAUAUGCUUCGCUUAAAAACACAAGAACAUAUGUAAAUAACGAAAUAUGAUCAGCCAUUUAGUAGUAUUUUUUUCUCUCAUAAUAAAUCAGUAAACAGUAGUUUUAUUCAUGACUCUUAUAUUGUCAUGACUCGACACCAUAUAACACAGUGCUAUGAGCAUAGCGUGCAUCAUUUAUGGCUCUUUAUUCCAGAAACAAUACUAAUACACUGACGAUGUACAAGAGCACAAGCAAGCAUGGAGCAUAGCGGCGACAUUUAUUUAUUUUAUUUCUUACAUUAAUUUAUUUUAUUUAAUUUAUAGCUCGAGAGAAGCAAAACUCGACUUGUCGCAUGCAUGCCAUCACAAGCCCCCACCAAGGAACGCCGCCUCCGGCCCCGGCGCCGGCGCCGGCGCCAGCGUGCAGCGCUGCUCGCAGAAGUUUGUGAGGAUAUCAUCGCAGCGGUAUAUGACGACAGGGCCGACCUUGACGCAGUUCUUGCACUCCGGGUGGCACCCAUCCACCGAGACGUCAUCUCGGUCGUCACGCCGAGAAGAGCCAGCGUGACGACGAGUAUCACCUGAGGCCUCAUCUUUGUUGUUACUGUGUCCGAUCCCGGCAACAAGAAGAGGCCACAAUGCCAAUAAGUUUGUUGCUUGGAUUUCUUAACUAACUACGUGUUAACUCGCGGCUAUAUAUGUGUCGAGGCUGGAGGUCUUGUUAUAUAUAAAUAAGCAGGGGAUGGAGGGCGGCUUCCAUCCAACGUAGAAAAUUUAAAGCCCAGUAGUCCCCACACGAAUAAAAUUAUCUCAUUCUUCAUCAUGCCACGUGCGAGGGCGAUGGAUCUGGCCGGUCUAUCGUGGUAUAUGAUGGGAGGAGGUCAAGAUGGAUAAGCGUCUUGUUGCAGCGGCGCGUGCAUUAUUACAGAAACGUGCGCGUUAUUAUUGUCUGCAUGCUCUUCUGCCUUCUACUUGUAGUUUCCUUCAAAAAUUUUCAGACUUUUCGUUAAAUCAAAUCUUGUGUCACAUGUAUAAAAAACAUUAAAUAUAGAUAAAAAAAUAAUUAAUUGUACAGUUUACUAAUAAUUUAGGAGAUAAAUCUUUUAAACCUAAAUAGUUUAUGGUUGAAUAAGUAUUCAUUUUGCAAAAGAAAAAAAAAACUAAAUAAGACAUGGUUGGUUGACCGAGUGCAUGGCGCAGCACAUAGUCAUCUCAGGUGGGAACGGGAGCCCAGCACGGUCAGCAUGCAUGUGCUCAGUCCUCGCCCUGCCACCUGGAACGAAGGCGACAUUCUGUCCUGUUGGCCACCGACUUGAGCUGAAUGUUGACCGUAGAGCCAUGGAGCUGGCGUCUCAACAGUACUGUACGAGUUAGCAGCUAUUUUAUAUAUAAUCAUGUCACUGUCACUUCAUUACGUGUGCGAGUCUCACAUGUAAAUGAUUUUUUAUCUAUAUUUUCUCUUCAUGCCACAAACUAUCUCGUUUUCUAAUCUAAGCGAGAUAGGUGUAGAAAUUAGAGAUCGAUAGUUCCUUCUUUUUUUCAUCUUCAUUCUUUUUUCACAUCUGGAAAGUGCUCACAUGGAUUCUUAUGAGCUAGUUCAGAUGGCACUGUUGGGGCACUCGGAGCAGCACCAGGAGAAGGCAGCAAAGUGUAGCCUUUAGCUCAGGAGAGCAGAGCUAGUAACGGGCGCGAUUGGUAGCUGUGGAGUUACUUUGAGCGUCGACUUGGUGUAUGGAGAUCUCACAAAUUUGUGUCAUUCAAGGGCCAUGGACAUCAAAAAGGAUUUGACAGUUGACAGCACUGUGAGAAAAACUUGCACAGUAAGUGUACAUCUUCCUGAUUUGUUUUCAGCUCACAAUAAAUCAGCAUAAAACUAAAUUUUUAAUGAAAUAAGCAUAAACAUCAAUCAAUUUUCAGCAAGAUGUGGGCAAUACAAGUACAACAAGGUAACCAAGAUAUUGUCAUGACUCGACACGAUACCAGUGCUUUGUGCAUAUAACAAGCAUCAUGAAUGGCUCUUAAUUAUUCCAGAAACAGUACUAAUAAUACACUGACGACGUACAAUAGCAAACAUCAAGCUGAGCGGUGACAUUUAUUCUAUUUCUUCUCUCAGACGAAGCUGAGAGAAGCAAACUCGACUUGCCAUAUGGAUGCUUGCAGCAGAUUGCCAUCAGAAGCCAUCACCCAGGAACGCCGCCGCCUCCGGCGGUGGUGCCGCCGUGCAGCGGUGCUCGCAGAAGUUUGUGAGUAUGUCAUCGCAGCGGUAGGUGACGACGGGGCCGUGGCCGCCGCCGGGACGAAUCCCGGCACCGACCUUGACGCAGUUCUUGCACUCCGGGUGGCACCCCUGCACCGAGACGUCAUUGCACUUGCAAUCCGGCGGGAGCUUUCUGUUGCAAACACCGCAGUUGUCGCAGCACGGCCACGACGAGCCUGUUGUGCCCACACAUGUUAAUUGGUUUAGUCAAAAUGUCUAGCAGUGUGCAUAUGCAUGCAUCCUAUAAUAACUAAUAAGUGAUGUGUGUGUAUAUAUCCUGAUGAUUGAUGAAAAUUAAACUAAACGGCAAAAGGAUUCGUCGUCACCUUCGCCGAGAGGCAGAGUUGCGAGGACGCCGAGAGCAACCAGAGUAACGGCGGCGAGUAUCACCAGAGGCCUCAUCUUUGUUUCUGCUGGCAAGAACAGGCCAGAAGCUUGGAUUUCCUUCCUAUGGGUAUCUCUAAGAGGCUGAAGGUCUUCUUAUAUAGGAGGGGAGGGAAGCUUCCAGCUAGCGUCACAGAUGAUGCCCCGGACUCAGGCCUCCAGACUUCACUACUCACUAGUACUCAGAUGGUUUUUACUAAUGAUAGUAUAAAGCAAUUAAUUUCUGUUAGCAGUUGUUUUGAUACUGCUGAUGUGAGAACAUUUUUAUAGUUUGUAGUUUGCAACCGUCAGUUUUAAAGGAAUUUACACUGGCCGUAGUUUUCAACGGCUAGUGUAGAGGUCUACGUCCAGUGUAAAAGGGAAUUUUCACCGGUGGUCGUUUUCAACCACCGGUGUAAAUAGAAGGGAUCUAACUGAAUGGUCAACUUCAAUCGGAAAAAAAACUUGGCGAAAAAAUAGGUAAGUUUUCUUUCUACACGUGAUCCUACACUACCCAAUAAUCCCAUGGCCAUACUACCUUUCUGCGCACCGCUGGGUGGGGAGAGUUUCUGCACCCAUCAUCUUGGUGCGUAAACCUGUUACCUUAUCAAUAGCUGUACUACAACCUCAUCCACAGCAAGCCAAAGACGAAUGCAUCGACCUUCUCCUGUGGAAUUUGUUCGGAAUUUUCCACACGUACGCAACCACACCGUGUUGGCGUGUUCAGACGCCCCGUGACCUCCCCGGCCGUCUGUGUCUACUCCGUAUGUCCGAAAGAUUAUUACAUCGCGAAAACGUUUUCGCAUUUGGCAGAUGAAUGAGAGAAGUUGUGGUAACAGAGAACAAAAUCAAGGGGCUGUUUAGUUGGUGAAAACUUUUGGUUUUAGCUAAUAUAUAUAUAGUAUUUUUAUUUGUAUUUGAUAAUUAUUGUCAAAUCAUAGACUAACUAGGUUUAAAAGAUUUGUCUCGCAAAUUACAUGUGAACUAUAAAUUAGUUAUUUUUUAUCUAUAUUUAAUUUUCUAUACACGUACGAUAAGAUUCGAUAAACCUUGUAAAAUUUUUCAGGAAUAAACAGACCCCAUGCAUGGACAUAACGCACUAUAGCUGGUAUAAACGAAAACCACAAUGCUUUGAGCACGGCAUGCAUCAUGCGUGGCUCUUUAUUCCAGAAACAGUACUAAUACACUCACGACAUACAAGAGCAAGCAUCUUUCGAGCAGAGAGCGGCGACAUUUAUUUUAUUUCUUCUCUGACGAAGCGAAGCUCGAGAGAAGCAAACUCGACUUGAUUGGCUUGCAUUCUUGCAGCGCAGAUCGACGGCGUCCCGGCCGAUGCCAUCAGAAGACACCACCGACGAACGCCUUAGGCGGUGGCGCCGGCGCCGGCGUGCAGCGGCGCUGGCAGAAGUUUGUAAGAACGUCGGCGCAGGUGUAGGUGACGACGGGGC
rnacentral:lncRNA from 1 species